ACCAUAAAACUGAUUGUGUAUGUGAGAAAACUUGCUCAACAGGAUUUAGGCAAGUUGGGGGUUUAUCACAGCAUCUUGGCAGUUGGGAGGGUUUCUGUGGGGGCAGGUGAGAACCCAGGAUAAAAGAAGCUGGGCAGCAGAGAGGGGAGCUGGGCAGCAGAGAGGAGGCAGCUAGAGAGCUGGAGAAGCCAGAGGAGCCUGGGACAAGACAUGUGAGGAAUGAAGACCAGAGUGGAAGGCAGAGAUGAAGCCGAACUCUAUUCCCCUGCCUUUUUGGCAUGCUGCUCACAGCCUGUGAAGGAUCAACUGACACAGCUGACAAGGAAGAAGCCACAUAUUGAUUGACAGCCUCAGCUGCCUGCAAAGCCCCAACCUUCUGUGUGUCAUAAGAAGUAGAAGUUACUGUAUGUUCAUUGGUGGCAGUAGGGAAAACUGAGGGAAAAACAGGACAGGGGGGUAGAGGGAGCAUUUGAGCCACUCGCAGAAGUGCCCAAUUGUGUUGAAAGCUCCCCUAAAACACCAACUGCGCUAUGCUGACUAGCACUGCGCAGCUUAGGGGGAGACAUAGACGGCAGCCGCCUCUUGUUGGCGCUCCAGCCGCACUCUUCGCGACUGCUCUCUUCUUAGCCGCACCUCUAACUAAUGCUGGCCUCUUCUUCAACGCUGAUGCCGUCAUAACAGCCGCAUUUCUUCCUGAAGGGGAUGCGGCUUGCUCGGAUCCCCCCUCUUCCCAGCGCUCUUUGACAGGCAAGCAGCACCUUCAAGAUGUCGUCACAACCAGCCUCCUUCUCCAGCCAACCAUACACACUCGACGACUUCUCAACCUGUUGCUUUGACAUUGCCAUGACAGCCGAGAACAACAAGGAACCUCUCUCCAGACAGUGCUGAGGUAACAACAAGUUAUAAUCCCCUCUAUUUAUACCUUUAUUUUUCCGCCACUCUCACCACACUCCCUUUGGACCAAUCAAAGCCCUUCGGAUCAUACCACUAUAUUUAAACCCAUAAACACUAAAAUACCCCAAUAACAACCCCUUUCCCAUGUGGUUGAAGGGCCUAAUUGUCCUUUCACCUUUCAGCUAGCAGACACAGCUCCAGCUAUACAUAUAAAUUGUGCUGCAGUUACAAGGACAGCACAGGCACGCAGCAGAGUCAGUCAGCAAGAGAAAAAGUCAGAAAGCAUAAGUGAUGGCUACUAAUAGCACAAAGUUCUCAGUAGACUAACCAGAACUACCAGUCCUGGAAGUUUAAAAUAAAAAUGCUGUUAAUCAGAGAAGGGAAAUGGAAGUGUAUACAGGAGGCCAGACCAAAUCCACCCACAGAUGAAUGGCUAGAGACAGCUCAGAAGGCACAAAGCACUAUCUCUCUCAGCAUAGAUGAUGAUCAGAUUGUGCAUGUAUGCAAAUGUGAAACUGCAAAAGAAAUGUGAUAGGAGCUACAGAAAGUGCCCGAGAUCUCAGAUGUACCUGAUUAGAAAGCUGUACCAGACUAAGCUGAUGAAAGGCCAGCAUAUGCAGAAUUAUAUAAAUUGCACCUUAGAAAUGGUGGAAUACCUGUGAGGUAUAGGAGAAAUAAAAAGACUUUCAUGUUGCAGCAUUGCUGUUUGGUGGUCUAUCAGAAAGUUAUGAGACACUUGUCACAGCACUAGAUGCACACCCAGAUGAUGAGCUGACACUGGAGUAUGUUAAAGGCAAGCUUGUGGAUGAAUACAAGCAAAAAACAUAAAGUGCAAAUGACAAAUCUGUUACAGAAACAGAAACUUCACUAGAAACUAAGGAUCAAACUAAAAACCCUAAUGUGCAGUGUGAAACUCGGGAAUGUUUUGUUUGUAAAAAGCCAGGUCAUUUAAAGGCAACUGCAGAGUCUGGAAAGCUAGAAUGAAUCAGCAAAAGAUUAAAGUUAACCAACAACUAGCCAAAAGUGUUAAAGGAGAAAUGGAAAACACAAAUGCAGAGAGUGCCUUUUACUCCAAAGAGGAUGGAUCUUCAAGUCACUGGUGUAUCGACUCAGUAGCUAAAAGUCAUAUGACCAAUGAUAAGGAAUUCUUCAUUCAGCUUCAUCAAAGCAAAACCAAAAGAAUUGUUACAACUAAUGGGCAAAUCAUGGUCUCAGAGGGAGUGGGGGAAAGGUUGUCCUAUAUGUCCCAGCUCUUGAAAGUAACUUAUUGUCUGUGAAAAAGCUAACUAAGGAAAUACAGUUAUAUUUAAAGGUGAGGACUGUGUUAUCACUAAAGAGAGUCGCAUACUCGCAAGAGGAAAUAUCAUUGAUGAACUCUAUCAGCUGGACUGUAAGGAAAUGGUUAAGGCUGCCAAAGAGGAAAGACAUGUAAACUAUAUUCACACAUGGCACCGUUGCCUUUGGCACAGAAAUCCUGAAGCAAUUAAAAGGCUUGUUCAGGACCAGCAUGCCAGUGGUAUAAAAAUGGAUGCAUGUAGUAAGCUAUUGAAAUGUACUAGCUGCAUAAAAGGGAAAAUGACAAAGAAACCUUUUCCAAAAUCCAGCAACAGCCAAGCUCAACAGUCAUUGGAUCUAAUUCACACAUAUCUAUGUGGUCCAAUGAAAACUCAGACCCCAGGUUAGAAGAAAUAUUUUCCUAUAUUUAUUGAUGAUUUCUCAAGGUACACCGUACUCCACCUGCUGCAUAGCAAUGAUGAAGUUCCAGAGAAGCUUGAACAGUAUCUUGCUCAAGUAAACAAUAAAUUUAGCAAAAUGCCAAAAACACUCUGUGCAGAUAAUGGGACUGAGUAUACAAGUGGCAAAACACAAGCCAUUCUGUGGAAACAUGGAAUUAUUUUUCAUACUACUGUACCAUACAACCCAGUGAAAAAUGGUGUUGCAAAGACAAUGAACCGCACUUUGUGUGAAGGUGGAAGAAGCAUGAUUUUUGAUGCAGAUAUACAGUACCAACCACGUAUUGGGGAGAAGCAAUUAUGACAGCCUGCUAUUUUCAAAACCGCUUACCCAGCAAAGCAACAGAGAAAACUCCAUAUGAACUAUGGAAUGGGAAGAAACCAGACCGGAAACACAUUAAAAUCUUUGGAAGCCUAUGUACAUGUUCCCAAAGAAAAACGUGCCAAGUGGGAAGCGUGUGCUGAGGAAGGUAUACUUGUUGGUUACAGUGAAUCUCAAAAAGGGUACAGAAUCCUGCACCAAAGCACCAACAAAGUUACAGUCAGCAGGAGUGUGAUUAUUGAAAAAAAAAAAUAUGUAUGUCUAAAGUUUCAUGAUGUGACAUCAACUGGCAAA